UGGGGAAUAUUGCACAAUGGAGGGAACUCUGAUGCAGCGACGCCGCGUGAACGAAGAAGGCUUUCGAGUCGUAAAGUUCUUUUAUAUGGGAAGAUAAUGACGGUACCAUAAGAAAAAGCCCCGGCUAACUACGUGCCAGCAGCCGCGGUAAUACGUAGGGGGCUAGCGUUGUCCGGAAUCACUGGGCGUAAAGGGUUCGCAGGCGGAAAUGCAAGUCAGGUGUAAAAGGCAGUAGCUUAACUACUGUAAGCAUUUGAAACUGCAUAUCUUGAGAAGAGUAGAGGUAAGUGGAAUUUUUAGUGUAGCGGUGAAAUGCGUAGAUAUUAAAAAGAAUACCGGUGGCGAAGGCGGCGUACUGGGCUCAUUCUGACGCUGAGGAACGAAAGCGUGGGUAGCAAACAGG
rnacentral:rRNA from 1 species